GACGAACGCUGGCGGCGUGCCUAAUACAUGCAAGUCGAGCGCAGGAAAUCGACGGAACCCUUCGGGGGGAAGUCGACGGAAUGAGCGGCGGACGGGUGAGUAACACGUAAAGAACCUGCCCUCAGGUCUGGGAUAACCACGAGAAAUCGGGGCUAAUACCGGAUGGGUCAUCGGACCGCAUGGUCCGAGGAUGAAAGGCGCUUCGGCGUCGCCUGGGGAUGGCUUUGCGGUGCAUUAGCUAGUUGGUGGGGUAAUGGCCCACCAAGGCGACGAUGCAUAGCCGACCUGAGAGGGUGAUCGGCCCACCUGGGACUGAGACACGGCCCAGACUCCUACGGGAGGCAGCAGUAGGGAAUCCUCCACAAUGGACGAAAGUCUGAUGGAGCAACGCCGCGUGAUCGAUGAAGGCCUUCGGGUCGUAAAGUUCUGUUGUAAGGGAAGAACAAGUGCCGCAGGCAAUGGCGGCACCUCGACGGUACCUUGCGAGAAAGCCACGGCUAACUACGUGCCAGCCGCCGCAGUAA
rnacentral:rRNA from 1 species